ACAUUUCAUUCAGUGCUAGUGAUUACAAGCUUGCGGCUAAAUUCACACGAUAUCACACACAUACAUACAAGCGAGGUUCGCAACACCUCCCCCCUUAUACAAAAGGUGUUUCCAAUGGGAACAGCUUUCCUUAAAGUGUUUACGCUAGCCUAAAUUACAUUGUUUGUACGGAAACUUCGCGUUGUCACACCCUUCUAUACAAGCGAUAUUUUUUACGUUGCAUGAACCAUAUAAUAAUACGUUGUAGAUAUUAUAAGUUCUCAGGAUACAUAACUUAAACCCUAAAGUAAGAAUAGGUCAUUACAUUUUCUUGUGACUUUGAAUGGUCCUGCCAAAUUGCAAUCAAAUUUCAAGAUUUCUAGUUCUUUAGGUUUACUGCUGCUGCAGAUUGCGUGUUUCUAAUUCUGAAGAACAAAUCAUCCAAUUAACCUAAGAAAGUACGUGGAGGUUCCUGCUAAAAAAGAAAAAACUCAGAUGGAAUGGUGGCUUUCACACCGACUACCAAUUUGUGUGGGCACGGAGAUCACCUUCACGCUGUACAUCCAUCGUGCAAGCACGUAAAUCACACAUGCUGGGCAAUAGAAUAGCGCAGACAGUGGCAUGCUAGACAAAUCGAGAAAGCGCGUACAAUGAUCGUGUUGGGAUUGGUGAAAAACAAAACAAAACUGUUACGUCAUUUCGUCCAUAGUUUACGGGAGGCAAAUCGUUGGCGCCUACGACAUCCUCCCGCAACCCCCAAAAAGGAGAGGCGUCUGUGUCGUCUGUUUCAAUUUAAUUUGGUAAGUGAGCGUUAUUCGGACAAGAGGACAUUUGUUUCAUUUGAGAAAGGUUUAGAGGAUUGCGGAACAACGCAUCGGCAUUCAGCGAAAUCUACCUUACAAACGUUCGCGUUUCCGAUAAGAGGCUACGAAGAUAGGGACAAUCUUGACCCUUCGACCGUUACUGAUUCUAAUCUACGUGCAAUGUCGAUAACAGCUUCAAGAUCUGGUAUUUCUUGACUGUUUUUAUUUUUAAGCAUUAUUCUUAACAUUCCGUUCCGAAGGCCAUUAAUAAAUGUGGCUAUAGCCGUAUUAUUCAAUAAAUCAACAACACCGCUUAACUGUUCAGAAUUGUACGUGUCCUUUGCUACUUCUAUUCCGGUAUUUAAUAUUUUACUUACUCGCGAUCCGAAAACCUCUACCGAAUCAUUAGUUCCCUGUUUCAAUCCCGUAAAUUCCUCGUUGAUACUAUGCAUGUUAAACGUACGCACGUAUGCCCUUUUAAGUAAUCCAAUUAACUCAUCUAAUGUACUUGGUUCCCGGCGAUUUGAAAGUACUAAUUUUGCAUGCCCCUCGAUUUUACCACGAAUUAAAAACAGAAGACCGGCUCUAUCCUCAGGCUUUACUUUGGAACUAAUCAGUUGACACUCCUUAAUAAAUUCAGUCAGAGAACAAGAUUUUCCAUCAAACUGAGGUAUCAAAUCCUUCACUAAAGAGAGACGAAGAUAUGACGCUGGAAGCAUACUAGAUGACUCUAUAGAGGUUGGAGUAUUUUUAGAAACAGCAGCAGCAAACGUAGUCGAGGACAAAGAUCGGUAGAAGAUGCCCCGGAAGAUGAAGAAAGUUCUGCAUUUGAUGAAUCUAUGUUUAAUUCCUCUACCAAAAAUGUAUUUUCCCGCAGGCCGAUUUUGCGACUCCUUUUGGCGCGCAUGUACUUUAACUUAUACGGCGGCAUUUUGUCAAAUUAUUUCUAACGGUUUCACUUAACGAGUUUUCUAUUUUCAAACACCAAAUUCCGUCCGUCGGUAAUCCGUUAUCUCGGUUGGCCUUGAAUCACGGGGAGAUCCUCUGGUUCUGCGAUUUGAUGAUGAUCUCUGUUUCCAAGUCGAAGAGAGGUCCAAUGAUGAUGUGAACGAGGUGCAUGUGAUUCCGGUGGAUGGCUUGCACGGCAGCCGAAAUCACCUGUCUCCGGUAUUCACCCUACGCUCUUGAGGAAACCGUGCCAAAACUCAAGAGGGAGAAGUUGCACUAAUGUUAACAAUGUUCACUUAUAUUAUAAAAGCUCAAUGAAGCAGUUCGUAAAACGUUCAGUUAUUUAUUUAACACACGCCCGCGAGCCGGCAAAGUUAUUAAAGCGUACACAAGUCUAACACAGUCACUUUGUCUUGUUUUGCGUUAUUUGCAAUUACUACACUGAAUAUACCUUUUUAAAAUUA